CAGGGUAUAGACCCGAAACCCGGUGAUCUAGCCAUGGGCAGGUUGAAGGUUGGGUAACACUAACUGGAGGACCGAACCGACUAAUGUUGAAAAAUUAGCGGAUGACCUGUGGCUGGGGGUGAAAGGCCAAUCAAACCGGGAGAUAGCUGGUUCUCCCCGAAAGCUAUUUAGGUAGCGCCUCGUGAAUUCAUCUCCGGGGGUAGAGCACUGUUUCGGCUAGGGGGCCAUCCCGGCUUACCAACCCGAUGCAAACUGCGAAUACCGGAGAAUGUUAUCACGGGAGACACACGGCGGGUGCUAACGUCCGUCGUGAAGAGGGAAACAACCCAGACCGCCAGCUAAGGUCCCAAAGUCAUGGUUAAGUGGGAAACGAUGUGGGAAGGCCCAGACAGCCAGGAUGUUGGCUUAGAAGCAGCCAUCAUUUAAAGAAAGCGUAAUAGCUCACUGGUCGAGUCGGCCUGCGCGGAAGAUGUAACGGGGCUAAACCAUGCACCGAAGCUGCGGCAGCGACGCUGAUGCGUUGUUGGGUAGGGGAGCGUUCUGUAAGCCUGCGAAGGUGU
rnacentral:rRNA from 1 species